rnacentral:rRNA from 1 species
AGUAACGCGUGAGGAACCUGCCUCAAAGAGGGGGACAACAGUUGGAAACGACUGCUAAUACCGCAUAAGCCCACAGCUCGGCAUCGAGCAGAGGGAAAAGGAGUGAUCCGCUUUGAGGUGGCCUCGCGUCCGAUUAGCUAGUUGGUGAGGUAAUGGCCCACCAAGGCGACGAUCGGUAGCCGGACUGAGAGGUUGAACGGCCACAUUGGGACUGAGACACGGCCCAG